rnacentral:lncRNA from 1 species
AACUGGGAGUGGCAGUUGGGUCUUGUGACUAGCACUUCCUUCCUGCAAGGGGGGGGAGGGGAAGAGGACUUUUGUCCUGGUGUUGGAGGAGAGAGAAGCUUGUUCAACCCAGUCUGGAGUGGCAUGCAAUUCUUGGUUCAGCCCAAAGACACAGGCUCCUAAAGGUAAUUGGAGAGAAAGAAAAGUUCCUUAAAAAUGAAAGGAGUAUUUUUGAGAAAAACAACCAAAUAAUCCUGAUGUAUUUGAGAGAGAAGACAAUACCUAGCACAUUGGGUAGAGACCUGGGGAAGAAUUUACAAAAGGACAUGGACAAAGCUCAAAUACAACGAAAAGAUAUGAGUGGGCAGUGAUCUACACCAAUGGAGGAAACUGCUACAUCAAUGAAGAAAUCACAAAUCCAGUGAAGUACUAACAUUUUUUUUAGAAAAUUUUUAAUUCCAAAUUUGACAAAACCACAUGAAAUAAACAUUUCCAUAACCAAAGUAAAAGAAGAUAG